rnacentral:misc_RNA from 1 species
CUCCGCUGAUUUCCAAACAAAGGUGUAGCUACUUCACCAAAACUCUCUUUUUCGCAGAACGCACUGGAAGAUGCAGUGCACUUUCCUCAAGCUCUCUUCACGCCGUGGCAGCGCCUUUGCCACCAGUCUUUUCCUCCAUGCCAGCUCUCAGAACAUGCGCGCGGCCGACGCCGCGCAGCGUAUUGAAGUGGAGGAGUUUGCAAAAAGCUACCAGAUGAAGCCUAUGGCCGAUCACCCACGCUCCUCGUUCGAGUACAAGAGUAGCGCUAAGGGUGCAGAGGUCGGUGCGCGUAACGAAGCAGCGUUUAUGAACUACGAAACCUUCACUCCGCAGACACUUUCAGGACGCUUGGUGAUGCCUGGCGACAUCAAUCUCCUGACCGUCUCGCCGUUGUACUGCGCGCUACUCUGCAUUGCUGCCGCUGCAUGGGGGGUUUUCUACUGGGAUAUGUAUUGCCGCAAAAACUACGAGACUGUCCUCAUCGCUAGGCCCAAGGACAUGCAGUAAUACUUCUUUCUUCCUGAAGCCCUCUGCGUACAAAGCCGCACUCCGCGCAUCUCAUAAGCUGAGCAUGUCGUGCGAGAAUCAUUAGUACUUAGUUUUUUUUCUUUUUCAGCAACGCAGACUAGCUAGACUCCCAUGAUAGCGAAUUCGUCUAGCUUUCUCAAUUCGCUUUCGUGGAUUGCCCCUCUACAUACCG